UACAGGGGGUGCGAAACGUUGCUCGGAAUUAUUGGGCGUAAAGCGCGCGUAGGCGGCUACUUAAGUCGGAUGUGAAAGCCCUUGGCUCAACUGAGGAAGUGCACCCGAAACUGAGUGGCUAGAGUACGAAAGAGGGUCGCGGAAUUCCCGGUGUAGAGGUGAAAUUCGUAGAUAUCGGGAGGAACACCGGUGGCGAAGGCGGCGACCUGGGUCGAUACUGACGCUGAUGCGCGAAAGCGUGGGGAGCAAACAGG
rnacentral:rRNA from 1 species